rnacentral:rRNA from 1 species
GUGGGGAAUCUUCCGCAAUGGACGAAAGUCUGACGGAGCAACGCCGCGUGAACGAUGACGGCCUUCGGGUUGUAAAGUUCUGUUAUACGGGACGAAUGGUACGACGGUCAAUACCCGUCGUAAGUGACGGUACCGUAAGAGAAAGCCACGGCUAACUACGUGCCAGCAGCCGCGGUAAUACGUAGGUGGCAAGCGUUGUCCGGAAUUAUUGGGCGCAAAGGGCGCGUGGGCGGGAAGGUGUGUCGACCUGUAAAUCUAUCGUUUCAAGCGGUAGGCUUGGGUUGAAACUGCAUUUCUAGAGGAUUUCAGGGGAGUUUGGAAUUUACGGUGUAGCAGUGAAAUGCGUGGAUAUCGUAAGGAAGGCUUGUGGCGAAGGCGAAACUCUGGGGAAUACCUGACGCUGAGGCGCGAAGGCUAGGUUAGCAAACGGGAUUAGAUACCCGAGUAGUCC